AGGCUGUGGACACAGCAAGGAGCGAGCGUCCCUUCCCUCCCCUGCCCCAAGGGCCCAUUUCUGAGGAGCGGCUGUGCGGUCUGCUGACAGCCCAGCAUCCGCGGCUAGCUUCCCGGGGCUCCCCCGGUGCCUAGUGCGCUUGCGCGUGCCGCUGACAUUCGGGUUCCUGGGCCGGGACUCUGGCUUCCCCCGCACCCAUCAUACCCACGGCACCUUUUCUUUUUUUAAGAUUUUAUUUAUUUAUUUGUUAGAGAGACAGAGCACGAGCAGGGGCAGCGGCAGAGGGAGAGGGAGAAGCAGACUCCCCGCUGAGCAGGGAGCCCGAUGCGGGGCUCCAUCCCAGCACCCCGGGAUCAUGAUCUGAGCCAAAGGAUCAGACACUUCACCAACUGAGCCACCCAGGUGCCCCCCCCCCACAGCACCCUCUUAUCCCUUUAAUCCGUCACCUUCCAGAUUUGUUUGAGGAACUAAGAAGACACAGACCCAAGGGUGCCCAGCAACACAGGAAGACGUGAGUGUGCUUCAUUGGAAAAACAAUGUGGAAGAGGGGGACCCCCAUGGGAACCAGAGGUGGUGGGCGGGGGCGCCCUCAGACCCUCCUAGGGGGGGAUGCAAUCUGAUCUCAGCGCUGCCAACAAUAGUUGCAGAAACCCAGGCCCAGCUGCCCCUCCAGAUCUCCCCGUGGAAAACAAGAGGGCCUCCCACAGAGCUCUGGAAGGCAGGGCUUCUCACAUCACGACCUCCUGGCCAGGGAGAGCCCCCAGCAGUCCCCAGGGACCACCUAACCCCAUGCCUGAGCCCUCUAGGACUGGCCGCCCACCAGCUCAGGAGGCCCUACCCCUCUGGAGAAGUAAGGCUGCUGACAUCUGCAAUAAAGGAGCACAAAUUGGCAGGGAACAAGAGCACCCCACCGUCCUGAUCUCCUGUUACUAGGGGGCCCGGGAGAUCUAGAGUGGCAUCAAGGGGAGCAAGGGGGGACAUUCCUGGAAGGACCCUGUGGCCCAGAACACCAUCAAGGCUAAGGGCAUCUUUUGGACUGUUCCUGCUCCUCGUGCGUACCUUUCCACUCACUUAGCCACACUGUCGCUCAGCCGGUCGUGGUUUGGCUACCCUGUGGAGUGCGCUGGCUGUCUGCACGAACCCUGUUUAGGGACCUGCCUUUCUCAGGAGCUAGACUUCCAGAUGUGGAUGCACUGCCUCUCAGGAGGGACCUGGCCCUCCCUUCCCAGCAAAGCCUGUGUGUGGGCUCCAUCUCCUGGGCUUGCAGUGUGGCCGUGGGGAAGCAAGGGGGCUCCUGUGGGCUUCCGUGCUCACUAGUUCAGAAGGCCCAGCAAUGCCUCCUCCAUCUACUUCCCCCAGAAGCCUGCGAUAGCAGGAGGAGCACGUCUGCAUGCGAAAGGGAUCGCCGGGGGGACUGGCCAGACCCUCCUCGGAGGAUCUCAUUUCUCAGGGUUCUCACAGCCUGCAGCCUUUGUAGAGGGCAUGGACCUGCCACGCCUAGACCCACACCUGUACCCACAGCUGCACCUGCUCACACCAGUCCCCACCGGUACCUGCACCUGUCACCCACCUGCUCAGGCUUGCAUCCACACCGCACUGACGCCUGCUCACGGCAGCCCACAUCUUGAACCACAGCCCAAGCCCCUGGCUACCGGGAGAUGACAAGCAACCAGACCUUUCUGCCGUCAGAGACAGAAUGAGGUCCCCAUCCCCUGGACCACCACUACCCAGAGCCCAGGUGAUCCCGGGGACACAGGAGACAGGGGUGGUGCCCCUCCCCGGCCCAGGACGCAGCCUGGGAGAGAAUGAGGGGAGAACAUCGACUCCUGGCCCCAAGGAGGGGCGACCCCAGCUCCUCCACUUUGCACCACAAACCUUGGUCUCCAACAGAUUCCCCGGCCCUGGAGCUGAGGUAGGAAGGCCUCCCCAGGAAGAGACAGGGCUCAAGGGGUGAGCUGAUACUUGCUAGGGGAGAGUGGUGGGGGAGGUCGUGCCCUCUUGGCCAGCAGCCUGCCCCGUCCCCAGCGUCCCGCCCCCUCCUCCAGCAUCCCCUUCACCCCCAUCAGCGUCCAGCCCCCUCCCCCCCGCCCCCAGGGUCUGGCUCCCUCCUGUCAUCCCCCCACUCCCUGAGCCACCCCAACCCCCACAGCCCUGAGCCGCUGGCUCCAUCCUCUUACUUGUAUGGCUGCAGCCCCCCACGCGCACCUGGGCAUCAUCGAUUCUGAACGCCCAGCGCCCGGGCACACCCACGUUGGUGGUGGUUUCCACCUCCGCCAUGUCCGCUGUGCGGGAGCCGGGGAUGCUGAAGUAGCGCCGCCCAUCACCCGCAUUGAAGCCGGCCUGGGGAGGUGGGUAUGGAGAGUGGGGGACAGGCGUGGGUUUGUCUGCAGGUCUCCCUGUUUCCUGAGACCUCCCGCCCCCAUGGUGGCCAUGGUCAAAGAGAUCAUGUGGAAGGUGGCCUUACAAUCUUGGAGCUUUAUGGGUUUGGGGGUACCCAUACCACCCUCCACGUUGUGCCUGUCCUGAUCAGCAACCUCCCAGCCGGAUGCUGACCCCGGCCACCGACACUGUUGGGCCCUGGCAUGCUCCCCUCACACACACAUGCAGGGCCUCCCUCCCUAGCCUCUUGGCUCCUGUGGGGACCAGGGGCAGGUGUGACCUCAGAAGAAAGUAGAUGGCUAGGAAGGAGGUGAGGCCCUUCCCAUCAUGAGGGAGCACUCGCUGGCCUGGGGACUGGCACUUGACCACUCCCUCCACACUUGUGACUUCCUGCUGGCCACAGUUCUGCAGGCCACGGGCCAGGCCAGGCCCCAGGACAGCGAGCGCACACAGAACCAGGGCCCCUUCUGCCUCGGCUGCAGCUGGCCCUCGGAGGCCAGGGCAGUGUGGAUCGGGACAAAAGUGCCUUUGACCUGAGGAUGUUCCUGUGAGUCUGGACUGGGCUUGGCAUCAGAAGGCCUCACAUGGGCCUCUGCACAGUACUGGGUGUGUGUAGGGGUCUGCCUGCCUCAUCAGCUCAUGACAGUCAUGGCGGUGGGGAGCCGGGCCCCUACCUGGGCUGCGAUGCCCCCCAGGCCCGUGGUGUUGCCCCCGCUGCUGGCGUGUGUGCCCGUCGUCCAUGUGAUGGACUCAUAGUUGAAGAUGGUGAAGGAGAACUUGCCGUCAGUGAUAAGCACAGUCUGGAACGUGUUGACCUGCCGAGGAGGGAGUCCUGAACAGGGUUUUCUAUGCUCCCUUGUCCAUGCUGCAAGGCCCUAGGCCCUCCAGCGUGCCUUCGCACACCGUCCUCAUCCACCGGCCCCUCCUCUGUCUUCCCAGCUCACUGGUCAGCCAUCUGCCAUCGAGCUGAUGGCCUCGUCCUCAUCCUCCACUGUGUCCCUAGUGCCUGAGGCCUGAGGUCAGGACCCCUAACAACUGUCAUCUGGGGAGGGAGACACACCGAGGGGUCAGCAGGGCCCACGGACACCAGGAGCAGACACUGCGCCCUGUGGCGACUGGGGCACAAGGGUUAGUGCUUACCGGGUCAAAUCCACAAAAUUGCCUCGUGUGAAAAAAACGUGAAGAGGGAAAGAUAAAAAGAGGAAACAAGGAGAAGCAGUUUUAAUGAUUUUUUCAUGGAAUCUCUUCCAUGAAGAUAUUGAGUAGUAUAUAUAUGGGAUGUUAUUUCAGAUUGGGGAAAGGGUGGGGUUGUUUAAGAAGUGGUCUUGGGACAAAUAGGAAACUGAAAAAGAAUAAAAUUAGAGCUUUAUAUCACUCACGAAAAUAAAUCCCACAUCAAGUAAGGUUGUGAAUGGAACGAUCAAAGCCCUAGAGGAAAAUAUAGGCGAAUACAUGGAGCCACGUUGAGGAAGGACUUUAAGUGUAACAUUUGUUAACUGCAAAAACCAAAAAGGAGAUUUAUAUAUUUGACUACAAAAGCCUCUGCAUAUAACAAAGUGCCAUAAGAGCAAACGGAAUGGCAAACAGCUAAGUGAAAAAUGUAUUUAUAACAUAGGUGGCAGGUGAAACUAUUGAUAUCCUUAAUUCAAGCAGAACUUCUGUGGGUCAGUAAGAAAAAGACGAAGAAGCUCUCUUUCUCUGUCUCUCAUGAAUAAAUAAAUAAAAUCUUUAAAAAAAAAAAAAAGGGCGCCUGGGUGGCUCAGAUGGUUAAGCGUCUGCCUUCAGCUCAGGUCAUGAUCCCGGGGUCCUGGGAUCGAGUCCCGCAUCGGGCUCCCUGCCCCACGGGAAGCCUGCUUCUCCCUCUGCCUCUCUCUCUCUCUGUCUCUCAUGAAUAAAUAAAUAAAAUCUUUAAAAAAAAAAAAAAGGAAAAGAAAAAGACGAAGAAGAGGACAGAAAA